rnacentral:rRNA from 1 species
CAGUAGCCGCGGGAAUACGAAGGGUGCAAGCGUUACUCGGAAUUACUGGGCGUAAAGCGUGCGUAGGUGGUGGUUUAAGUCCGUUGUGAAAGCCCUGGGCUCAACCUGGGAAUUGCAGUGGAUACUGGGUCACUAAAGUGUGGUAGAGGAUAGUGGAAUUUCCGGUGUAGCAGUGAAAUGCGUAGAGAUCGGAAGGAACAUCUGUGGCGAAGGCGACUAUCUGGGCCAACACUGACACUGAGGCACGAAAGCGUGGGGAGCAAACAGGAUUAGAUACCCCAGUAGUCCCUGUCUCUUAUAC